UACAAAUUACCGCUAAAUAGAGGAACCUUUUUCAUUUUCCCCACACAUGUGCUUACAACCCCGCGAUGACAUCAUGGCACUCUAGCCGUGCAGACGGUGGUGGAAGCGAAACCGCACUGAAAUUGAGUUGCCUGAGCUAAUUUAGAGAAAAGUAAAAGGCUGUUCUCUGGUUACUUUAAGCAGCACAUUUGAUAUGAAAGGGGAAGCUUUGAAGGAGAGGCCCGUCGGCGGCAGUCUCUUAUUAUCUGGACACGCACUGACCCGUGAGUGUGUGUGUGUGUGUGUGUUUCGACAGAAGCGCCAGGAGACUUUCUCACCUACUCUGGCGAUGUGGGGAGCGAGUUAAGCAGCAGACGGAUGACCAGCGCUGGCCCGGCUCCUGUUACCCUGUUUUCUACUCUGUCAGCCUGCUGCUUCACUUAUGACGGCGGAGAAAUGGUUGUGUCAAUCACAGAUUACAGCUUGCAGGACCUGAGGCGGGCUGUUGAAAAUGAACCGUGGUGUUUGCUGGACCGCGGCUCUCUGGCCGACAGGCUCAGACGACCUUGGCCGGUCCCGCGUUUGACUGACUGCAUUAGGCCGUGUUUUGUUCCGAGACUGAAAGGGAUACCGGGCCGACGGCGGCCUCUCGAUCCCGCUGAAGGAUCAGGUAGCGUUUAACAGCGGAAGCGCGAAAGCCGCAGAUUCCACAGCGCCACUCAACGUGUCACGGACGGCACUACUGGGCUCAAUCACUUCGACCGGUCUCAUGUUCGCCCGCACGCUGACACUCCCGGUGCUGUUGACGCCCCUCGAUCCGUCUUCAUCGGCCAGAGGAGCUCGUGACCCUCCGGGUGGGGCGGCCCAGGUAGCGCGACAUCACAGCUCUUUAAAAGGCGGUUCGUGGGAAAAAUGGGCAGAAACUUUCAUUUUGACAAAGCGCUAAACUGUGACGCGCACUGAUGCACAUGUGCUUUUGAUUCCUCCUCCCACGUUAAUGGCAAACGUCAACCUGAAGUAAUAACCCCCGUCUAUGCGACUCGAUGGAAACGUUUGUUGUCGAAUAAUGAAAUUCACCUCCGUACAUCUUAAACAUAUUUAUUAAAAUGAGUUAUGUCAAUGAUUAAUCACA